GUGUUCACUUCAGCAGCACACACAAUGAAAUGGGAGCAGUACAGAGCAGAUUAGCGUGGCCCCUGGGCAAGGAUGACACACACAUCCGGGAAGCGUCCGUAAAAAGA